ACGAAUACCUGAUGCAUAUCCAGAAAUGCAAGCUCCCCUGGAAGCCGUGGUGUCUGUACAUUCCAGAGCAGCCAUGCCAAAGCCACACAGUUUGUCUGAUGGCAGGUUUCUUUCAGUGCCUAUACAAUACAAUUUCCACCUGAUGGGCAACCAGGAAGGCUAAUAUAGACAAAACGUACUUUAUCUGAGCUCAAAACACAGCUGAAGCAAAGUCUGGAAACAGUCAUGAGAUGACUGCUACCCAGAACUCUCCGCCCCACCCCCAAGAAAGGGAAAGCAUGUAUUCCCCAAAACAUGGAGGCACGGACUGAAAAACUAAAGACUUCUAAUUUUAAAAAGCGUUCCAAGUUCCAUGUUCGACGUACUUCAACAUCUUUUGCUGUCAGCAAGUGUCCUUUCACUAGGAACUGCUCAAGGAGCAAACAUCAACUUCUUUUCUCGACCUCUUCGAAAUCCGUAGGUUUUUAAUUUUCCAACUCAAGUCGACGUGCAAACAAAAGGUUAAAAGGGGGUCCCUCGCCGGCUGGCCAGCCUCCACGCUCCUUACAACCGGGUCACAACUAACUGGCACGCUGUAGCAGCAGCAGCCAUCUCCCACGCCGACUCCCGGUCUCGGUCUGUCUCCCCCAUUAACUUUCCCCCUCCCCGGAGGCCUGGAAGGAUCCCACUACAGGCCCGACCGCCCACGCCCCGGAGCACACGCACACAUCCCCACCACCGCCCCGCGGAAAAGAAAGGUGAGAAAAUGGAGACUCGGACAAAGUUUAAGAGAAGUGUUCCGGUCACUCAGCUAGUAAGUGGCAGAGCUGGGAUUUGAAGGCAGAUUUGGAGAGUGUAUUUGGGCUACACUGACCAAAUAUGACACUCCUAAAUUUCACACUGGGAGUUCCAGAGAGUACCUCAAGGAGAAAUGCAUUUGUCAUCGGAAGCAGCCAAAACUGAGAGUUUUCCUACUUGAUGUAAACCACGCAGCAGUGACUCCUACAGCCUGGAAAGCCUGAGGUGAAAAAUGUGACCAUCAGCUUCCAUGUUUGUCACGGCUCAGCUGAAGAACUAGACUCCAAUGGAUUUGUCAUGGGUUACCAAAUCUAUGCUGCUGAAGAGCAAGACCUGUCUCAAGAUGAUCUAGCAGGAUGCUACUCCAGGGUCACUUUUAAGCGGAUCUCAGAUUGGAUUACGAAGACUGGCUCCUAAAUAAAAUGACUGGAAGUAAAGAACCAGAACUAAAGGGUACCACUGUCUUUGAAGCCAAGUCAGGUUGAAGUGUUAUGAAAUGAAUUUCACCUUAAUCCCAUCUCUAGAACUUGAGCUAAUCCCAAAAUCAUUCUUUGUUUCAAAUCUUCAUCUGGGGCCUCUCUACAUAAAGUCCCUACAAUCAUUUCUCUCCUUUAGUUACCUUUCCUGUUCCCCACACCAACCCGCUUCCAUACAUACAUGAACCACCCCAUUAACUAGAUUCAUGUGGGUUGCUAAAGCAAAAUUGUAAAGAUCAAAUGACAACCCUUGACCAACAGUAGGUGUUUAAAUAUCUUCAAGGUUAGGAGUAGGAGCAGCUUCCUGCAAUUACCAAUUUCUAGACAUCACCUUCCCUAUCUUAACCACCAAAUCUGUUGGUACUUUAAUUUUUUUUAAUGCCUUCAGUGAAUCACCUGUGUUUGAAGACAGCUUUGCCUUUGGCACAAUUCCUAGCCUUCUUUUGAUAUAGUUUUUCCUGAGCUAUUCACUACUCAAUUAUCUGGUACUAUUUUAUUGUUCCCUCGUUGCUUGGGAACACUUUACCCAUUACUGGAGUGGCAGUUCAUGCUCUACACCCUGCUCCAACCCAGAUUUUCCAACCCAAUCCAAAUUAGCCUGUAUGCCCAACUCCGUGCACUUUUACUUCUGGAACAUGACAUAGUAGACAUUUCCUGAAGUUACCAACAGAAGAUCUAAGUUUACCCAUUCCGUCAUUAGUGUAUAACCUUGAGCAAGACACUAAAUCCAUUGGAGCUUCAGUUACCACACCUGUAAAAUGAGACUAAUGCUAAAACCUGCUUUCCAGGACUGUUGUAAAGAUCAAAUGACACCAACUAUGUUGAGAGCUCUGUAAACUAUGCAAGACUAUACACACAAGCAAUUUACUGUGCUUUUCUUUUUCUUCUUCUUCUUCUUUUUUUUUUUUUUUUUAAGAUUUUAUCCAUUCAUUCCUGAGAGACACAAAGAGAGAGAGGCAGAGACAGAGGCAGAGGGAGAAGUAGGCAGGCUCCCUGUUGUGGGAUUCAAUCCCAGGGAUCACACCCUGAGCCAAAGGCAGUCACUCAACCACUGAGUCACCCAGGUUCCCCUUACUGUACUUUUCUAAGUCAUAGCUCACUAUCAGAUAGUCUUUCUGGGUACAUUUCUCUACCUAACAAUGUGGCCUAGUGAUGACUGUAGCAGAGGAGUUAAGAAGUUAUUUUAAAUGGGGUAGGACCUUCCGCAGUUCGUCCUCUCAAAACCACAAAUGUAAGUGACCACUUACUGCACCACUGUGAGUGAAAUCCAGUGGUAUGGUGGCCAAUGUUUAAUUACUGGCUCUCUGAGGGGGAGAAGGGAGCUGUCAUUUGUAGAAUUUGCUGAUUUCCAUGGUGUAAAUAUUCCCACCCUGGCCAAUUUCAAGCUACCAAUGCAUUAUUAACCGUCUUACAAAAUUCCUUGUUAUUUAGCAAGUGGUCGUCGAGCACAUCACCAUUUCACUCUGCCUUAUUACCAUUCUAAGAAUGCCUCUUGGUAUCAAUAUAGGUCCUACAGAAGAAUUCUGGAUGUUAUUGCUCACCAAGAGUAGAUUUUUUUCCUUUAUUUUUUUUUUUAUCAUUUAGAAAUCACAAAAUACUCUUCUCUAUAAUAUAUCCUUUUAGAUAGGAAAAUUCUUUUUUUUAAAUCCUCACUUUAUUGGAGUUCAAUUUGCCAACAUAUAGCAUAUCACCCAGUGCUCAUCCCAUCAGUGUCCCCCUGACUGCCUGUCACCCAGUCACCCC